UUGCCAUAGUGACCUCCCAUGAGCUCUCUCUCCCCGCCCGUUGCUCGGCGGCUGGGCGGCUUCGUCCCGAUCCCGCGCAGUUAGGAGGUCGGGACGCACCCCGAGCCGCCGGCGGUGCCCUGCUGGAGAAUGGAAAGCGAGGGCGACAGUUGUUCGUGGGGAAGGAGCGAAGAGCCUGAGGUCGUCCGGGAAAAACGUCUGUUUAAGUCCAGGUUGCCGGAGUGCCUCGUCCAGGUGGCGUGCGGACACCAGCACUGCGCCUUCCUGCUGAAUCGCCACGAGCUGUGCGUCUGGAAUACAGCUGGCAGCCCUGCUGCACAGGGUUAACACCUCAAGGAAUUAUCAUUGGAACUCUUCUGAGAUUGGUUCUUCAUGUAAGAUUUAGUCCAGAUGAUCAACAGGUGGCAGUAUGUGCUGAAAAUCGAAUCUACGUGUUAAGUGCAAAGAAUGAAGCUAUACUAGUUAAAUUGAAUGGCCACCUGGCUCCAGUGACUGCUGCUGAGUUUUGCACGUGGGAGAAAAAUAUGCUUAUAUCGGUGUCUGAAGACAGAAGCUUCAAG